CCCAGACUCCUACGGGAGGCAGCAGUGGGGAAUAUUGCACAAUGGGGGAAACCCUGAUGCAGCGACGCCGCGUGGGUGAAGAAGUACUUCGGUACGUAAAGCCCUAUCAGCAGGGAAGAAAAUGACGGUACCUGAUUAAGAAGCCCCGGCUAACUACGUGCCAGCAGCCGCGGUAAUACGUAGGGGGCAAGCGCUAUCCGGAUUUACUGGGUGUAAAGGGAGCGUAGACGGCAUUGCAAGUCCGGAGUGAAAGCCCACGGCCCAACCGUGGGACUGCUCUGGAAACUGUUCAACUGGAGUGCUGGAGAGGUAAGCGGAAUUCCUAGUGUAGCGGUGAAAUGCGUAGAUAUUAGGAGGAACACCAGUGGCGAAGGCGGCUUACUGGACAGUAACUGACGUUGAGGCUCGAAAGCGUGGGGAGCAAACAGGAUUAGAUACCCCCGUA
rnacentral:rRNA from 1 species